rnacentral:rRNA from 1 species
CGUAGGCGGAUAGUCAAAAAUAUAGUAAAAGACUGAGGUUGACCCUCUUAAAGCUAUAUUCACUAACUAUCUUGAGUUUUAUGGACGAUAAUGAAUCCUUUAAGUAAGGGUUAAAUUGUUGAUAUUAGGAGACAUUCGAAGGCGAAAGCAAUGAUCGACAUAAAUCUGACGCUAGGUACUAAAGCAUGGGUAUGAAAAGGAUUAGAGACCUUGUAGUCCAUGCUGUAAACUAUGAGUGUUCAACGUCCUUUUGUGGUAUGUUUUACCUAGAAGUAACAUUGGCACGAAAGGGGGUUUGAAGCUAACGCGUGAAACACCGCCUGGGGAAUGUGGCCGCAAGGUUAAACUCAAAGGAAUUGACGGAGAUUUGUACAAG